CGGGGUGUAGCGCAGCUCGGUUUAGCGCGCUUGAUUUGGGAUCAAGAAGUCGGAGGUUCAAAUCCUCUCACCCCGACCA
rnacentral:tRNA from 1 species